rnacentral:rRNA from 1 species
AUGCCGCGGUGAAUACGUUCCCGGGUCUUGUACACACCGCCCGUCACACCACGAGAGUUUGCAACACCCGAAGUCGGUGAGGUAACCUUCUGGAGCCAGCCGCCGAAGGUGGGGCAGAUGAUUGGGGUGAAGUCGUAACAAGGUAUCCGUACCGGAAGGUGCGGAUGGAUCACCUCCUUUCU